rnacentral:tRNA from 1 species
GGGAAUGUGGCUUAGUGGUAGAGUACUUGCCUAGUAUGCAUGAAGCCCUGGGUUCGAUUCCUCAGUACCA